rnacentral:sRNA from 1 species
AAAGAUUUAGACUUUGGAGGCUCUGCAGAAGAAGAAGACAACGAGAUUCUUAGGUUCAAAACUUCGAUCUCCGAC